rnacentral:misc_RNA from 1 species
GAUGAAGAACGCAGCGAAAUGCGAUACGUAAUGUGAAUUGCAGAAUUCAGUGAAUCAUCCAAUCUUUGAACGCAUAUUGCGCUCUUUGGUAUUCCGAAGAGCAUGCUUGUUUGAGUAUCAGUAAACACCUCAACCUCUUCUUGAUUUUUCAAAAGGAGGGUGGACUUGAGCUAUCCCAACAACCUUUACCGGUCGGCGGGCGGCUUGAAAUGCAGGUGCAGCUGGACUUUUAUCUGAGCUAAAAGCAUAUCUAUUUAGUCCUCGUCAAACAGGAUUAUUACUUUUGCUGCAGCUAACAUAAAGGAUAAUUGUCCUCUUUGCUGACUGAUGCAGGAUUUUACGACACUUUAUGUGUUGUUCAACUCGAUCUCAAAUCAAGUAAGACUACCCGCUGAACUUAAGCAUAUCAAAAGCGGAGGA